GAUGAACGCUGGCGGCGUGCCUAAUACAUGCAAGUCGAGCGAAGCGGGGACGGGUGAGUAACACGUGGAUAACCUCCUAUAAGACGGGGAUAACUUCGGGAAACCGGAGCUAAACCGGAUAUUUAUAGUUGGACCCGCUUUGCAUUAGCUAGUUGGUAAGGUAACGGCUUACAAAGGCAACGAUGCAUAGCCGACCUGAGAGGGUGAUGGGCCACACUGGAACUGAGACACGGUCCAGACUCCGACGGGAGGCAGCAGUAGGGAAUCUUCCGCAAUGGGCGAAAGCCUGAUGGAGCAAUGCCGCGUGAGUGAUGAAGGUCUUCGGAUCGUAAAACUCUGUUAUUAGGGAAGCGGUACCUAAUCAGAAAGCCACGGCUAACUACGUGCCAGCAGCCGCGGUAAUUC
rnacentral:rRNA from 1 species